rnacentral:lncRNA from 1 species
UACGCCCCUGGGAGCGUUGUGGCUGCUGUUUCCUUCGGCUUUCCUCCUCCUGCUCCACCAUGUGGAGCCGACGGCAGGGCCGCCUCAGGCCCACGGUCUGCGGGGUGGAGGAGCUACGGCGCCGCCGGCGGGAGCGGGAGCACUGCGGAAGGCGCGGAGGGAGCAGCAGCUGGUCAGCAAGAGGCUGCUGAGAAACGACGCCCCAGAGGAAGCUGGAGAGGGAUGUGUGGCUGCGAUCCUCGGGGAAACCGAGGUGCAGCAGUUCCUGCGGCAAGCCCAGCGGGGGACAGAGGAAAAGGAGAGAGAGGGGGCUCUGGUCAGCCUUCGUCGAGGCUUGCAGCACCCUGAAACACAGCAAACCUUCAUCCGUCCCCCCAUGUGGCUGUGCUGGAAGCUCUCGGAUAUGCCUUGUCCCAGCUUCUACAGGCUGAGGAAGCUCCAGAGAAGAUCAUUCCCUCCAUCUUGGCCUCCACUCUCCCUCAGCACAUGCUACAAAUGUUGCAACCUGGCCCAAAGCUCAACCCUGGGGUCGCUGUGGAGUUU